UAUUUGGAACUCUGCAUGUGGGUGCAGCUGUGUUGGAGGAAGGCAGCCUUUUGCUGGCUAUGAAGAAAGUUGCUGAACUUAAAGAAACCUCAACCCUCUCCAUGCUGUCUGUUGACAUGGAAAACAAGGAGAAUGGCUCUCUGGAUGUCAAAAAGUUAUACCCGAAACCCCAGGCUACAAACCCUGCCAGACCUGCCACAGGUCUUUUCCCCCUCAGCGAUGGGCAUUCCAGCUUCCUCGACGCAUCUUACAUCCCAUCAAAGGGAAACCUGAAAGAAAGGCAAAGUCACCCCAAAGGCCAGAGAGCAGGGAAACCUGCAUCCCAGUAUGGGUACUGCCAAGGCUUCCACCCCUUCCAGUAUCAACAUGCCGGUGCCACUGAAAAGACUUCCAGCAUCCUAGUGCAGCACCAUCGUGGGUACCUGGAUUGGAGUCCUCCAAACACAGAUUCAUCUUGGCCCCUGUUCUGGUACUGUUUUUCUCAGGUCCUAAAGAGUGUACAGACUGCCCAUCUAUAUCAUCUCUGGUGUCUCUCAACAUACUUCAUUUUGAGGAACAAUGCCCAGGAUCACUGGUACCGAUCAGAUUCCUCUCUAACAAGGAUCUCUAAGUCAUAGAAGAUCCUGAAUCUCUCUUGCUGAGGGGUACUGAGAGGAAUGUCCUGCUGGUACCAACCUAUCCCCAGAGCUGACACAUCCCCCAGUGUUGCCACACUACUAUACAAAGACUCAGCCACAGAUACAGUGAGACUGUGGGCAUCACCUAGGCUUCCGGUACCGAUGCAGCCUCUGGUACUGACUCCGUUAGCUCCUCCACUGGAUACAGGGAUGAUACCUUCUCAGACACAGACACUUCCAUUCAAGACUCUACCAUCUUCCUUCUCCCCUAGGUAUAUCGCAGGAGAUCCCAGGAACCAGUUGGUAGUUGUCCCGUCAACCUUGUCAGGACCUCACCAUAGUGAGCUUGUGAACCCUGGGGCUCUGUGAUGGGGCAUGUUCCCCAUACUCGUCCUGAAAGGGUUAAUGUAGGCCAGGGGGCCAAUUAACCUAUUAGGCUGCAAGCAGGGGGGAUAGUUAGGCUGAAAGGAAAGCCUUAAUUACGGUAAGUUCACCUAUACGGGGAUAGGCGAGGCUUCUAUGAAGCCAGGGAGCUGGUAGCAGAAAGGGGCUGCAGGAAGUAGUCUGCAGUUACUCCCAUUGGGAAGGGAGGCAUGUUUGGAGCUAUAGAAUUCAGUCUGCAGUUAAUCCCUGGGAGGAAGGGGUUUGGGUGGCAAACCCAGAGGGGGGAGCCAGAAGGAGUAAGAAAGGCUCAGGGAAAAGACAGCAAGGUUCAGGAUGGUGCAGACCUUGGCAGCUGAUUAGAGGGUCCCUGAGCUGGAACCUGGAAUAGAGGGCAGGCCUGGGUUCCCCUACCAGCCACUAGGGGAGUGGCACCAUUGGGGCAGUGAAUGAGAAGACUGAUUGAGACUAUAAGGAAAACUUUGAUACCCUGGAACAGGAGGACUAUAGUGACCAGACCGUUGGGCCAAGCCAUGAAGGCAGAGCACCUUGAGUAGCACCUGGGAGCGAGAGCGGCAGCAGGGUAUGCAGUGACCAGCAGAAGGGGGCCUUGGACCUGGAAAGAGCUAAUCCCCAGAGCAACCAGGAGGAGGCGCCUCAAGCGUUCAGUAGAGAAUGGGAGACCUCCUGACCCUGCUGACUGGGCUGUCACUGAUGUCGUAAAUUACUUCAGAACAGCAGGAUUUGAAGAACAAGCCAAUGCUUUUCAAGAACAGGUAAAUCGGUUUGGAUCGACUGUCACUGCCCUUUGACUCCUCACAUUUUCAUUAUAUGGGCUGGUUGUACAAAGGAAAUUGACGGCAAAUCAUUGCUACUGAUGACAAGAAAUGAUGUAUUGACUGGACUUGCGUUAAAACUGGGGCCAGCUCUGAAAAUCUAUGAAUAUCACGUAAAACCUCUACAGACACAACAUCUAAAGAACAAU